UUAUAAGGAACCAAUGAUAACCCAUCUGUUGUAGUUUGAAUAGGCAUGGCUCCCAUAGACUCAUGUGUUUGAAUGCUUGGCCUAUAAGGAGUGGCACUAUUAGGAGGUGUGGCCUUGUUGGAGUAAAUAUGGCAUUUCUGGAGGAAGUGUGUCACUGUUGGGGCAGGCUUUGAGGUCUUAUAAGCUCAAGCCUGGCCAGUGUUUCUCAGUGUUCCUUCUGCUGCCUGUAGAUCAAGAUGUAGGAUUCUCAGUUCCUUCUCCAGCACCGUGUCUGCCUGCACACCACCAUGUCCCACUACGACCAUAAUGGACUGAACCUCUGAACUGAAGAAAAGAAACCAAGUCAAAGACACCCUCAAAUACCCUAUAGGACCAGACAUGUUCCGAGUGACCGCUAACAUUGCUGUUCUGGUAGGCUCUGAACCCAGAACAGCAGGAAAUGACACAUUUCAGUUGGUGCAAGUGACACAAGAAGAAAUGAAAUGCUCCCCACCCACAUCUAGAGACUCUGUCUAUCAUACCAUUGCAAACCUGUGGACCCUGAUCAGAACGGACAUGCAGGAAGGACCAAGCACGAUGUACAAAUGGAGAGAAGCACACAGGAGCAUGGCAGACUUGAAACAGAGAGAACACAGUGUGAUAUGAGCUCAGCGUGCAAACAAGAACAAAACUGGUGUGGGCUGUGGAAGCCCUGCGGUUAAACGCUUUGACCUUGCCUUUUCAAUAUUCAACCUGGGAAAACGGAGAACAACAAUGUCAUAUUUGGGUCCUGAAACUUCAGGUUCACACCAACCUAGUCGAUAAUUCAUGUGGCUCUUUGGCUCUUUCUAUAAAGCACAUUAUUUAAGCGCG